CUACGGGAGGCAGCAGUGGGGAAUAUUGGACAAUGGGCGAAAGCCUGAUCCAGCAAUGCCGCGUGAGUGAUGAAGGCCUUAGGGUUGUAAAGCUCUUUUACCCGGGAUGAUAAUGACAGUACCGGGAGAUUAAGCUCCGGCUAACUCCGUGCCAGCAGCCGCGGUAAUACGGAGGGAGCUAGCGUUGUUCGGAAUUACUGGGCGUAAAGCGCGCGUAGGCGGCUAUUCAAGUCAGAGGUGAAAGCCCGGGGCUCAACCCCGGAACUGCCUUUGAAACUAGAUAGCUAGAAUCUUGGAGAGGUCAGUGGAAUUCCGAGUGUAGAGGUGAAAUUCGUAGAUAUUCGGAAGAACACCAGUGGCGAAGGCGACUGACUGGACAAGUAUUGACGCUGAGGAGCGAAAGCGUGGGGAGCGAACAGGAUUAGAAACCCUGGUAGUCC
rnacentral:rRNA from 1 species